AGCAGCCGCGGUAAUUCCAGCUCCAAUAGCGUAUAUUAAAGUUGUUGCAGUUAAAAAGCUCGUAGUUGAAUUUCGGGAUCAAUACGUCGGUCAUGCUUUUUGGUACGAACUGGCGUCAUUGGUUUCUCCUUUCUGACGAACCAUGAUGUCAUUAAUUUGGUGUUAUGGGGAGUUGGGACUGUUACUUUGAAAAAUUAGAGUGUUUAAAGCAGGCAUAAGCUUGAAUACAUUAGCAUGGAAUAAUGAAAUAGGACGUUUGAUCCUAUUUUGUUGGUUUCUAGGAUCAACGUAAUGAUUAAUAGGGAUAGUUGGGGGCAUUAGUAUUCAAUUGUCAGAGGUGAAAUUCUUGGAUUUAUUGAAGACUAACUACUGCGAAAGCAUUUGCCAAGGAUGUUUUCAUUAAUCAAGAACGAAAGUUAGGGGAUCGAAGACGAUCAGAUACCGUCGUAGUCUUAACCAUAAACUAUGCCGACUA
rnacentral:rRNA from 1 species